UGAUUGUGGCGUCACAGAUGAAGGUUGUGCUGCUCUGUCUUCAGCUCUGAGAUCAAACCCCUCACACCUGAGAGAACUGAAUCUGUCGUGGAAUAAACUAAGAAGUUAUAGUAUGAAGCUGCUCUCUGUUGGACUGAAGGAUCCUCACUGUAAACUGGAGAAACUGUGGUUGAGUGAUUGUGGCGUCACAGAUGAAGGUUGUGCUGCUCUGACUUCAGCUCUGAGAUCAAACCCCUCACACCUGAGAGAACUGAAUCUGUUUGGAAAUAAACUAAGAGAUUCUAGUAGGAAGCUACUCUCUGAUCUGAAGGACGAUCCACAUUAUAAACUGGAGACAUUAUACUAUUGACUCUCAGUAUUUAGACGUCAGUUCAGUUUCCUCAGGAUCAGCUGAUGGUGAAUAAGAGCCGCUACAGAGACGUCACAGUCACACAAUCAACACAGACUG